CCCAGACUCCUACGGGAGGCAGCAGUGGGGAAUAUUGCACAAUGGGGGAAACCCUGAUGCAGCGACGCCGCGUGAGCGAUGAAGUAUUUCGGUAUGUAAAGCUCUAUCAGCAGGGAAGAAAAUGACGGCACCUGACUAAGAAGCCCCGGCUAACUACGUGCCAGCAGCCGCGGUAAUACGUAGGGGGCAAGCGUUAUCCGGAUUUACUGGGUGUAAAGGGAGCGUAGACGGCGGUGCAAGCCAGGGGUGAAAGCCCGGGGCCCAACCCCGGGACUGCCCUUGGAACUGCAUGGCUGGAGUGCGGGAGGGGCAGGCGGAAUUCCUGGUGUAGCGGUGAAAUGCGUAGAUAUCAGGAGGAACACCGGCGGCGAAGGCGGCCUGCUGGACUGCGACUGACGUUGAGGCCCGAAAGCGUGGGGAGCAAACAGGAUUAGAUACCCGAGUA
rnacentral:rRNA from 1 species